ACAGACUCGGAGCCAUUUCUCUCUUUCUCUCACGACAUCAUGUCUCUCCGAGCUCCUCUCCUCCUCAAUUCUUGAAUCGGGGAGAUUUUUUUGUCGGAGCGCCUCUCCGCCUCCCGCCGGCCUUCUCCUCGGCUUCCCUUUUGCAAUACCAAAGUUUUCAGGAUAAUCAGCUACUGAAAAUGUCUUGAAAGCAUGAACUAGCUAUAACACAUACAGUUUGAUCUUCAUCAAAGAAUAGAGGGAAUAAAAGUUUGGUAUAUGAGGGAUGCUGGAGAGAAACGGAUGAGGGUUUAUUUAAACAUUACUGAAAAUGGAAGGACCCCAGAAGGUAAUGUGGGAAGUGAUUUGCUCAACAUAACGCAAUGAGAUCCUCUUCUGCUUCUUCUUCUUCUUCCUUGCAGUUCGUUUCCUCCAACGACAGAAUCUGGGGCUGCUACUUUGUCGCAAUAGGCUCCAUCUUCUUUUUGGGAUUUCUCUUCGCCACCGUCAUAUCCAAGCUUCUUCCUCCGUCCAAUAACGCCCUGAUAUCCGCCGUUCAAAACGACUGGUACUACUGCUUCUUAGUGCCUCUGACUCUUCCUGUCCUUGUGGUUGCUGUAUAUUUCCAUUGGCUCAGCAUGAAAAUGUUCAAGCAUGCAUGAUUUUUUCUUGAGCCCAUCAGGUCUGGAGCCUCUCGUUUAGCAGAACAAGUUACUAAAAAGUGUGUUUAUUCAUUGCCUUUACAAGAGGGUUUUGGAGACCUUCAGAUUCUACAAACUUCCCAAGUAUCUUUGUCCGUUUGGCCUUUGCCCCAACAUUUUGUCAAACACAUGCAUUACUGGUACAUUUCCUUAUUUGCACAUCAGCCAUCAACUGUUGGCACUCACAAUUGUCAUGUCCGUUCCUUCCCAUCCUACCAUAGAAAAGCAAGACCUGCUUUCAGAUUCUAUUCCCAAUUUUGGGUACUGUCCAAGGACGUGCUAUGGGAUAAAUUUUCUUCUGGGUCAAAAUCCCACAACAUGGGCCUUCUUCUUGGCAAUAAGUAUUGCAGUAGGAUGAUAUUUAGGAGGAUUUGACAGGCAUUAUUAUGGCAUGAAUAUUUCUAAGGUUUAGAGGCUUGCAAGCGUGCUCCUACAUUCAACAAUAUGGUUCAAAGGAUGUUUAAGCAUUCUCUUUCCAUCAACUUCAGAUCUUCAGUUGCUGCUCCUACCUUGGAAAUCUUUUGGUGCAAUUGCAUCCACAAUAUAUUAGGUCUACAGGUGAUUCUCCACUUGUGUUAUAUGCUAAUUGAAGAAGAUCAAAAUAAUUAUCUUUUUGGAGUAUAUUUGGAUAUCCCAGUUAUGUGGUUGAUCUGCUGGCUUGUUUGAGCUGGGAAUCAGGUGGUGGAAAGGGUCUAGUUGCUUGGCGAGCUGUGCUCUUUUUUGCUUGAUGUGGAGCUUCCAGUUAAAGAGGAAUGGCAGAUCAUUUGAAGGCUAGGACAAGUAUUUGGGAAGUUCAAAAUGGUAUUAUUUAGGGCUUUGUUUAUGGGGUCUUGUUUGAUCCUUCGUUCGAGCUUUGAGAUCUUUUUAUUCGUUGUUUAUGCUCUAGGAUUUAGGAUUUGAUUUCUCUGGUUUUUCUGAUUUUCUUCCUCUUUUCUUCUUCUUCUUCUUCUUCUUCUUCUUCUUCUUCUUCUUUUGAUGUUUGAUGAGUAAUACAACAAUAUCAAGUAUGUGAGGACUACACAAAGGGGCAUCCCAUAAUUUUAUUUUAUUUUUUAUUUUAAAAAAAAAAGUGAAAAUGAUUGCUUCAGUUCUCUCAACUAAA